rnacentral:lncRNA from 1 species
UUAGACAUUAAUAAAAUAACAAAUAUAUAUAUAGACAGAGAGAGGUCUCUCUUAUUAGAAAAAAUGAAUGGUGAGAAAGAGAGAGUGGGACCGGAUAUAAGGCAAAAAUAAGUGGAAAAGAAAGAAAGACAUAUAAUAGAAGAACCUCGGUUAGAAAGGAGAAGACGGGGACGCUCAUAUAAAAAAAAAAAAAAAAAAAGAAACACGCAGCGCAGUUUUGAUUCUUCUGACAGAGAGAAGGACAUCAUAUGGCUAUAUUAUAUAUAAGAUAUUAAUAAGAAUGAAGUAGAAAAUCACUUAGUAGAAGAUUAAGGUUGUGUCGAAGUGACCGAUGUGGUGAAUAUGAAUCACCAUUUGGUGGAUACUGUGGAGAACACGGAAUUAUCUAUCAACCACUGCACCUUAUUCUCCUCAGCAGAAUGGAAACUGCUGAGCGAAAGAAUCGUACCCUAAAUGGAUAUGAUUAUGCUAGUUGAUCAGUUCUGGAUUAACCGCAGAACAUGUGGGGUGAAGCAAUUCUUCCACUGCCAACUCACAUCUUGAAUAUAGUGCCUCGCAAGAAGUUGGAAUAAAACCCCGUAUGAGUUAUGUAAAGAUAGGAGUCCACUUAUAACUUUUACGCACGUGGGGAUGUCUUCCACAAGUGGCCCUCCCUCCUCUAAAAAGGAAAAGAUUGGUCAAAAAAAACCGUUUGACUGUGUGUUUCAUCGGUUAUGCACAAAUAGUAUGCAUAUCUGUUCUUGUGUAUGAGUCUGCAAUACCAGAUAUCCAAGCAACAUACAUGGAGUCUAGGAAUGGGGCGUCGUUCUUUCUUUCCGAAACAUAUGUCCAUAUAAUCCAUGUAGUGAGUUCGAGUUCAAUAAAAAGGACUCUGCAUCCCUGGCUAAUGACAAGAAAUAAAACCAAAAAGAUGACUUUUGAAAUGAAUGAGACAUUAGCAAGAGAGCUAGAACGUCAACAUCUUUUGUCCAGACUUCCUAAACUUAUAUGUUAGAAAGUGAGCCUCCACAUACAGGAAGCUGUGAACUGUCCUGAAGGUCCUUGUGGCAGAUGCUAUUCAGAGUGAGAUUGAAUCCAUUCUGGCAAAUCAUACGUUGGAACUCGUGGAUUUACGCCAGGCAGGAAGGCCUCUGGGUUACAAUGAUCUUUAAAGAAAGAUGAAAGCAGAUGGAUCAAUUAGAUAAGUCAAAGCUAAGGCUUGUUAUCAAAGGAUAUAGACAACAAGAAGGCCGAGACUACUUGGAUACUUAUUCACCAUUCUCAGAAUUACAUCUAUAGGAUGAUAAGUGCGAUUGGCAAAAGCCUUUGCGAAUCUCGAGAUACAUCAGAUGGAUGUUAAACCAGCUUUUUCCUAAAUGGAGAUUUAGAUGACGAAAUCUACAUGAACACCCUGAGGUUUUUUUCUGCCCCUGGAAGAAGGAAAGUCUGUAUACUUGUAGAUCAUUGUAUGUUCUCAAGCAAGCAACCAAAACUGGCCUGAGAAGUUUGACAAUGGUUGUAUUGUCUAGUGGCUUUCAAAAUCAAUGAAUGUGACAAAUGUGUAAUAUAUCAAGGACACCAUGAGGGUACGUCAUUUGUGUCUUUAAUUGAUGACAUGAUCAUUGUUUGGUAAGUAAUGAUAAAUUAUCAAUCAAAUCCUACACGACAUAUUAAUUCAAAUUUUGAUAUGAGGAUAUGUUCUAUCCGAUAUUAUUCUGGGUGUGAAGAUUACCAGAAACAUCUGACGACUUGCCUAUGCACUUUCUCAGACACACUAUAUUGAUAAGAUUUUACAAAAUUCAAAAUCCUGAUAUGAAUGUGGCAAAACUCCUGUAGAUUUAAUCUCCACUUAUCCAAGAAUUGGGGGGGAACGGUCAAUCUCAAUUGAGUAUUCUCGUAUAAUUGGGAGUUUAAUGACUUUGAUGAGUUGUACAAGGCCGAGAUAGCCUACUCAGUAAGCGACUGAGCAGGUCACGAGUAAUCCAGGAAGUGAUCACUGGAAGGCGGUAGUAAGGUUGGCUACGCUAUUUAAGAAAGAUAUCUCGUGAGUUUGGACUGGCAUUACACCAUAUUUCCCCCAGCAGUACUAGAGGUUAUUGCGAUGCAAACUGGAUUUCGAUAUGAAAAGACUCGAAUCUACAGUGGAUUACAUGUCUUCAGCUGGUGGUGCAUGCAUGUCCUUGGAAAUCUUCAAACAGACGUGCAUUGCACGUUCUACGAUGGAAUCAGAGUUUUUUGCUCUAGAUAAGGCGACUGAAAGGCUGAAUGGCUACGCCAGUUUUGGAAAUAUUCCAAGAUGGCCGCACCUGUGUCUGCAAUUACCAUCAUUUUCGAUAGUCAAUCUAUCUGCGAUUGGUAGGGCACAGAGUACUAUGUAUAAUGGUAAGUCCAGAAUAUUCGUCGUAGACAUAAUACCAUUAGACAAUUGUUCCUCUCAAAUGGGUUGUCGCUAUUGACUAUGUCAGGUCAAGACAAUAUUGCAGAUCCGCUUACAAGGGUUACCCAUCGAGUUAGUUGAUCU